AUACGUAGGGGGCAAGCGUUGUCCGGAAUUAUUGGGCGUAAAGCGCGCGCAGGCGGUCGGGUAAGUCUGAUGUCAAAGCCCGGGGCUCAACCCCGGUACGCAUUGGAAACUGCUCGACUUGAGUGCAGAAGAGGAAAGCGGAAUUCCACGUGUAGCGGUGAAAUGCGUAGAGAUGUGGAGGAACACCAGUGGCGAAGGCGGCUUUCUGGUCUGUAACUGACGCUGAGGCGCGAAAGCGUGGGGAGCAAACAGGAUUAGAUACCCUGGUAGUCCACGCCGUAAACGAUGAGUGCUAGGUGUUGGGGGUUUCAAUACCCUCAGUGCCGCAGCUAACGCAAUAAGCACUCCGCCUGGGGAGUACGCUCGCAAGAGUGAA
rnacentral:rRNA from 1 species